rnacentral:rRNA from 1 species
AUGUGCCCAAUCUCUGGAACACUCGCUGGAGGUGGAAGGAACAGCUCAGAGGCAGCGGUCUCUACCUCUCUCUCGACUCUCUUCGGAUGCCGCACCCAGCCCCAGCCUAGUGCUACUACUACCGCUAGUACCCAGGUGAGCGAGCGGAGGCAGAAGACCGAGGGGACAGAGAAGCCAUUAAAUGAAGAGCGAGAGGGGGGAGAGGAGGGGGGGAGGUCAGGGCCAGCAAGGCGGGGAUGGGCUCCUACCAAUCCUGAUUGUUGUCACUGGCUUGUGGUGGUGUGGACUGCUGCUGGCUGCUGCUGGCUGCUGCAGGUGCAGGUGCAGGGCUAUGCGUGCUCCCUCGACCUCGCUCGGAGAGAAUAUUUAUGA